UAUGUGAUCGUCUCUCGCAUAUCAAUAAGCGGAGGAAAAGAAACUAACAAGGACUCCCCUAGUAACGGCGAGUGAAGCGGGAAGAGCUCAAAUUUGAAAUCUUAAAGGGUUUCCCUUUACGAAUUGUAGUUUAAAGAAGUGUUUUCUGUUGAGGUUUUGGUAAAAGUUCUUUGGAAUAGGACAUCAUAGAGGGUGAGAAUCCCGUAUUUGACCUUUACUUUCAACUUUGUGAUACACUUUCAAAGAGUCGGAUUGUUUGGGAAUGCAGUCCAAAAUGGGUGGUAAAUUUCAUCUAAAGCUAAAUAUUGGCGAGAGACCGAUAGCGAACAAGUACCGUGAGGGAAAGAUGAAAAGAACUUUGAAAAGAGAGUUAAACAGUACGUGAAAUUGUCAAUAGGGAAGCGUUUGACACCAGUGUUGUUUUUCUGAAAAUCAAUUAAAGAACUGUUUAUGCUAAGCUGUUUAGACUUUAUCAGCUAUCUGUUUAGUUUUGAGCUUUUCUUUAAUGCACUUUUCAGUUAACAAGUCAACAUCAAUUUCUUUUGCUGUAAAAAAGCUUGAGGAAGGUGGCUUGAGAUUCGUCUUAAGUGUUUAUAGCCUCUUGCCUAUGCAGUCGGAGAGAUUGAGGUCUGCAGCGUAGAUCCUUCGGGGCUAAAUGCAUUUGUGCUAAGUUAUAGCAUUUUAUAGACAACUUGUUGACUAUGAUUUGUCUUGUAGCUUACUCGCUUAUGUUAUUUUACCUACGCUUAGGAUGUUGAUCUCUCACAGUCGAGC
rnacentral:rRNA from 1 species